rnacentral:rRNA from 1 species
GGAUGUCAUCAUACCAGCAAUAAUGCACCGGAUCCCAUCAGAACUUCAAAGUUAAGCUUGCUUGGACGAGAGUAGUACUAGGAUGGGUGACCUCCUGGAAAGUCUCGUGUUGCAUCCCUCU